GUAAAUUCUUGGAAAUACGUAUGAAUAACCCAAGUACUGGUGGUAAGCUCACAUAAUUAAAUAUUUUCCUCCGUUCUUCCCAAUUAUUUUCCGUCAUCGCAAAACCCUAGCUCUGCCUCGACGUCAUCUCAUCAGUACCGGCGCUAAUCAGUUUUGAUAAGUAAUGGAGGAUGUGAAGCAUAAAUUGCGGAAGGGGGAGUCGGAAAGGAAGGAGGAGGAGUCGAAGACGAUAAGGAGCCAUCGUGAGCGGGAUAAGGAGAGUAAUGGCGAGAGGCAUUAUCGUAAACGGGAGAAGGGGAGCCGUCGUAGAGAGAAAGGUAGUGAUUAUGACGAUGAUGAUGAAGAUGCCGGUGUUGAUGAUGAUGAGUAUGAGAACGAGAGACAAAAGGAUAAAGAGAAGCAGAGGGAUAGAAAGAAGGAGGAUGAUGAAAGGGAAAGGAGCAAGAGUAGGAAGAGAGACCGGGAAGAUAGGGGUAAAGAUCGAGAUAGGGACAGUGAGGAAAGGGUAGAGAAAAGGGAGAGAACGAGAGAAAAAGAAAGAGAUAAAGAUCGAGGGAGGAAGGAGCGUGAGAGGGAGAGAGAAAGAGACAGAGAGAGGAAGGAGCGUGAUAGAGAAGAACGUGAGAGGGAGAAAGAGAGGGAAAGAAGGGACCGUGAAAAAGAAGAACGUGAGAGGGAGAGACAUAGAGAGAGGGAGAAAAGGGAACGUGAUAGAGAAGAACGAGAGAAGGAAAAGGAGCGGGAACGAGAAAAGGAAAAGGAAAGAGAAAAGGAGAGGCUUAUCAGGGACAAGGAGAAGCGUCGAGAGAUUAGCAGCGAUAAUAAUGGUGAAGAUGAUUCUAGGGAGCAUGAUAGAAAACGUCGAAAGAGAGAUAACGAUGACUACAGGGAGAGAACUCGUGAUCAGAGCAGUAGCAGGUCAAACAGGCAUAGGGAUGAAAGUGAGGUGAGCCCGAGAAAGAAGACUAGUGAGGAUGACUCUGAUAUUAAAGAGAAGAAAACCCGAGAGGAGGAACUAGAGGAUGAACAGAAAAAAUUGGACGAUGAAAUGGAAAAGAGGAGAAGACGAGUACAGGAGUGGCAAGAGCUGAAGAGAAAAAAUGAAGAAGUUGAGAAAGACAAACAUGGGGAAGCAUCAAAUAAUGAUGAACCCCAUACAGGUAAAACGUGGACUCUUGAAGGAGAAUCUGAUGAUGAAGAAGCACCGCCCACAGAGAAACUGGAGACAAUCAUGGACCUGGAUGAAAUAGCAAAGCCAGAUAAAGAAGCUGCAACUUCAAUUGCGGUGGAUUCUAAUAAUAAAAUGGUGGCUAUAGACAAUGGUCAGAAUGAUGCUACUGAGGAUGACGAUAUUGAUCCAUUAGAUGCUUUCAUGAACAACAUCUUACCGGAAGUUGAGAAGCUAACUAAUGCUGUGAUUACUCAAACAAUUGAUGAUAAUAAAGUGGAGUUGAAGAAGAAAAAUGAAGAAGGACAUAAUGGGGAGAGGCUAAAGAAAGGCUCUAAGCUGAAGAAAGGCUCUAAUAAAUCGCUGGGGAGAAUAAUUCCUGGCGAGGAUUCUGAUUCAGAUUAUGGAAACAGUGAAAAUGGCGAAGACCCCUUAGCAGAGGAAGAUGAUGAAGAGUUCAUAAAGAGGGUCAAGAAGACAAAAGUUGAAAAGCUGUCUGUUGUUGAUCACUCGAAGAUUAACUAUGAACCAUUCCGUAAAAAUUUCUAUAUAGAAGCAAAGGAGAUAUCAAGGAUGACUUCGGAAGAGGUUGCUACUUAUAGAAAACAGUUAGAGUUGAAAAUACAUGGAAAAGAUGUUCCAAAACCUAUUAAAACAUGGCACCAAAUUGGACUGGCAAGUAAGAUUUUGGAGACAGUUAAGAAGCUUAAUUAUGAGAAGCCUAUGCCAAUUCAAACUCAGGCACUGCCAGUAAUAAUGAGUGGGAGAGACUGCAUAGGGAUUGCAAAAACUGGCUCUGGUAAAACUCUCGCAUUUGUGCUUCCAAUGCUGAGGCAUAUCAAAGACCAGCCACCUGUGGAAGCUGGAGAUGGGCCGAUUGGACUUAUAAUGGCACCAACAAGAGAGCUUGUUCAACAGAUACAUAGUGACAUAAAGAAGUUUGCCAAGGUGCUGGGAAUUAGGUGUGUACCUGUGUAUGGAGGUUCUGGUGUUGCUCAACAGAUCAGUGAAUUGAAGCGGGGAACUGAAAUUGUUGUCUGUACCCCAGGUAGGAUGAUCGACAUACUUUGCACUAGUGGAGGAAAAAUUACAAAUCUUCGAGGAGUGACAUAUCUGGUUAUGGAUGAAGCUGAUCGUAUGUUUGAUAUGGGUUUUGAACCUCAAAUCACCAGAAUUGUACAAAACAUUCGACCGGAUCGUCAAACUGUACUCUUUUCUGCAACUUUCCCUCGCCAGGUUGAGAUUUUGGCUCGUAAAGUAUUGAACAAGCCUGUGGAAAUUCAGGUUGGUGGGAGGAGUGUUGUGAACAAGGACAUUACUCAGUUGGUCGAGGUGAGGCCAGAAAGUGAAAGGUUCUUGAGACUGUUAGAACUACUUGGUGAGUGGUCUGAGAAGGGUAAAAUUUUGAUAUUCGUUCAGUCGCAGGAGAAGUGCGAUGUGUUAUUUAAGGAUUUGGUGAAGCAUGGCUAUGGAUGCCUUUCCCUUCAUGGUGCUAAGGAUCAAAGUGACCGCGAGUCUACCAUUUCUGACUUCAAGAAGAACGUCUGCAAUUUGAUGACUGCUACAAGUAUUGCGGCCAGAGGUUUAGAUGUGAAGGAGCUUGAACUGGUGAUUAACUAUGAUGUUCCAAACCACUACGAGGAUUAUGUUCAUCGUGUUGGUCGAACAGGCCGCGCUGGUCGCAAAGGUUGUGCAAUCACUUUUAUAUCUGAGGACGAUGCAAGAUAUGCGCCAGAUCUUGUAAAAGCAUUAGAACUCUCUGAGCAAGUUGUUCCACAAGACCUGAAAGCUCUUGCUGAUGGUUUUAUGGCAAAAGUGAAUCAGGGGCUUGAGCAAGCCCAUGGAACCGGUUAUGGUGGAAGUGGUUUUAAAUUCAAUGAAGAGGAGGAUGAAAAGAGGAAUGCAGCUAAGAGAGCACAAGCAAAGGAAUAUGGGUUUGAGGAAGAAAAAACAGAUUCAGAAGAUGAAGAUGACGGGGUGCGUAAGGCAGGUGGUGACAUUUCACGGCAUAAUAAUGCCCUUGCGCAGCAGUUUGUUGCCAUUGCUUCUGCCUCCAGAGCAGCUACAUCUGCAACACCAACCCCUAUCAUUCCUGGUCAACUGCUUUCUCCUAGUGGAUUACCUGUUCCUCUAACAAUUCCGGGGCAAGCAGCAGUUGUGCCUGUUAUUAAUAGUGAUAACCAAGCUAAGGCACUUGCAGCUGCCAUCAACUUACAGCAUAACAUUGCAAAGAUUCAAGCUGAUGCCAUGCCUGAACAUUAUGAAGCAGAGCUCGAGAUUAAUGAUUUUCCACAAAAUGCUCGGUGGAAGGUUACCCACAAGGAAACUUUGGGCCCGAUUUCUGACUGGACUGGUGCUGCCAUCACUACCAGGGGGCAGUUCUUCCCGCCAGGUCGUAUUCCAGGUUCAGGGGAUCGGAAACUGUACUUGUUCAUUGAGGGCCCUAGUGAAACAUCUGUUAAGAAAGCUAAAACAGAGCUUAAACGUGUUUUGGAAGACAUCACGAACCAGGCAUUAUCACUUCCUGGUGGAGCUCAACCCGGAAAAUACUCCGUUUUAUAAGUGUAAGUUCUGCAAUCGAAUCUGUUUCAUUGUUGAACAUGAUGUGAACAUUUUUGUUGAUUUACUCUUAACUGUGUAUACAUAUAUUUGAUGCUCCCAAUUUUUUAUUGGUUUGAAUAUUUGUAUCACUUUUUCCGUGCUCUUUGGUUGCUUAUUUGUUAAAGCUAUUUAAAUUGAUUGUGCUUGAAAAAUGCUUGCUUGUGAUUUUCCCUCUCCACCCGCUGUUUUGUUAGUUGUGAAGAUGUUUAAAUUUAUCAUGUCAAUUUCCAUCUCUCUUCCCCUUUUAAUUUCGUUCUUUUUCCCGCCUUUUAUGUUGUUUACCUAUUCUCCAAUGGACCGAGGGAUGCUCGCAUGUCCAAUAUACUUUCUGCUACAGUAGCUGUUGAAGAGACGGUGGAUCUGGUUCGACUGCUCUUGCCAUUGUUUUCCAAUUGGUCAACACGAGACGGGAAAAGUAUACAAAUAAUGUUUAAUAGUCAGCUUAGGCGUGAACUAUAUGUUUGCUGAAAUUGUUGACGAUGCAGCGAUAAAGUGGCGAAUUAUUGCCGAAUGAAUGCUAUUUUGAUCGGGUUAGUUGCCUUGUGUCUGGAUGCUGGUGUCACGUUGAAAGAGAUUGUUUUGAUUCUUUGUUUUUAUGUCAGAAUAUUGUUACUACUGGAUGUUGGAAAUUUAUGAGUCUUGAUUUAGCACAUUUUUAUGCAGCAAA